rnacentral:rRNA from 1 species
CUUGGUCAUUUAGAGGAAGUAAAAGUCGUAACAAGGUCUCCGUAGGUGAACCUGCGGAGGGAUCAUUACACAAAUAUGAAGGCGGGCUGGAACCUCUCGGGGUUACAGCCUUGCUGAAUUAUUCACCCUUGUCUUUUGCGUACUUCUUGUUUCCUUGGUGGGUUCGCCCACCACUAGGACAAACAUAAACCUUUUGUAAUUGCAAUCAGCGUCAGUAACAAAUUAAUAAUUACAACUUUCAACAACGGAUCUCUUGGUUCUGGCAUCGAUGAAGAACGCAGCGAAAUGCGAUAAGUAGUGUGAAUUGCAGAAUUCAGUGAAUCAUCGAAUCUUUGAACGCACAUUGCGCCCUUUGGUAUUCCAAAGGGCAUGCCCGUUCGAGCGUCAUUUGUACCCUCAAGCUUUGCUUGGUGUUGGGCGUCUUGUCUCUAGCUUUGCUGGAGACUCGCCUUAAAGUAAUUGGCAGCCGGCCUACUGGUUUCGGAGCGCAGCACAAGUCGCACUCUCUAUCAGCAAAGGUCUAGCAUCCAUUAAGCCUUUUUUUCAACUUUUGACCUCGGAUCAGGUAGGGAUACCCGCUGAACUUAAGCAUAUCAAUAAGCGGAGGAAAAGAAACCAACAGGGAUUGCCCUAGUAACGGCGAGUGAAGCGGCAACAGCUCAAAUUUGAAAUCUGGCUCUUUUAGAGUCCGAGUUGUAAUUUGCAGAGGGCGCUUUGGC